rnacentral:rRNA from 1 species
CGCUGGCGGCGUGCCUAACACAUGCAAGUCGAACGCGAAAAGGGCUUCGGCUCUUAGUAGAGUGGCGAACGGGUGAGUAACACGUGGGUGACCUACCUUCGAAUGGGGGAUAACGUCCCGAAAGGGACGCUAAUACCGCAUAACAUCCUGCUUUUGAACAGGUGGAGAUCAAAGCCGGGGAUCGCAAGACCUGGCGUUUGAAGAGGGGCCCGCGUCUGAUUAGCUAGUUGGAGAGGUAACGGCCCACCAAGGCAACGAUCAGUAUCCGGCCUGAGAGGGCGGACGGACACACUGGGACUGAGACACGGCCCAGACUCCUACGGGAGGCAGCAGUGAGGAAUCUUGCGCAAUGGACGAAAGUCUGACGCAGCGACGCCGCGUGGGGGAUGAAGGCCUUCGGGUCGUAAACCCCUUUUGGUGGGAAAGAAACACCCCAACGUUAAUAGCAUUGGGGUUUGACGGUACCCACAGAAAAAGCCACGGCUAACUCUGUGCUAGCAGCCGCGGUAAGACAGAGGUGGCAAGCGUUGUCCGGAAUUACUGGGCGUAAAGCGCGCGUAGGCGGCUAGAUAAGUCCGGUGUGAAAUCCCACGGCUUAACCGGGGAACGGCAUCGGGGACUGUUUAGCUUGAGGACGGGAGAGGAGAGCGGAAUUCCCGGUGUAGCGGUGAAAUGCGUAGAGAUCGGGAGGAAGGCCGGUGGCGAAGGCGGCUCUCUAGAACGUCCCUGACGCUGAG